CCUACGGGAGGCAGCAGUGGGGAAUAUUGGACAAUGGGCGAAAGCCUGAUCCAGCCAUGCCGCGUGUGUGAAGAAGGCCUUCGGGUUGUAAAGCACUUUCAGUGGGGAAGAAAGCCUUGGGGCUAAUACCCUCGAGGAAGGACAUCACCCACAGAAGAAGCACCGACUAACUCCGUGCCAGCAGCCGCGGUAAUACGGAGGGUGCGAGCGUUAAUCGGAAUUACUGGGCGUAAAGCGCGCGUAGGCGGUCUGAUAAGCCGGUUGUGAAAGCCCCGGGCUCAACCUGGGAACGGCAUCCGGAACUGUCAGGCUAGAGUGCAGGAGAGGAAGGUAGAAUUCCCGGUGUAGCGGUGAAAUGCGUAGAGAUCGGGAGGAAUACCAGUGGCGAAGGCGGUCUUCUGGACUGACACUGACGCUGAGGUGCGAAAGCGUGGGUAGCAAACAGGAUUAGCUACCCGUGUAGUC
rnacentral:rRNA from 1 species